rnacentral:misc_RNA from 1 species
GAUGAAGAACGCAGCGAAAUGCGAUACUUGGUGUGAAUUGCAGAAUCCCGUGAACCAUCGAGUCUUUGAACGCAAGUUGCGCCCGAAGCCAUUAGGCCGAGGGCACGCCUGCCUGGGCGUCACACGUCGUUGCCCCCCCAUCUACUCCUUCGGGAUUGCGGGGGGCGGAUGAUGGCCUCCCGUGCGCCUCGUCGCGCGGUUGGCAUAAAUGCCAAGUCCUCGGCGACGCACGCCACGACAAUCGGUGGUUGCGAAACCUCGGUUGCCCGUCGUGUGCGGUCGUCGCGCAUCGAGGGCUCGAAAAAAUUGCCGGGCUCCGGCUCGGCUUUCAACGCGACCCCAGGUCAGGCGGGGUUACCCGCUGAAUUUAAGCAUAUCAAUAAGCGGAGAA